rnacentral:rRNA from 1 species
UGGGGAAUAUUGGACAAUGGGCGGAAGCCUGAUCCAGCCAUGCCGCGUGUGUGAAGAAGGCCUUUUGGUUGUAAAGCACUUUAAGCGAGGAGGAGGCUACUAGUACUAAUACUACUGGAUAGUGGACGUUACUCGCAGAAUAAGCACCGGCUAACUCUGUGCCAGCAGCCGCGGUAAUACAGAGGGUGCGAGCGUUAAUCGGAUUUACUGGGCGUAAAGCGUGCGUAGGCGGCUGAUUAAGUCGGAUGUGAAAUCCCUGAGCUUAACUUAGGAAUUGCAUUCGAUACUGGUCAGCUAGAGUAUGGGAGAGGGUGGUGGAAUUUCCUGUGUAGCGGUGAAAUGCGUAGAUAUAGGAAGGAACACCAGUGGCGAAGGCGACCACCUGGGCUCAUACUGACACUGAGGUGCGAAAGCGUGGGGAGCAAACAGG